GAUGAACGCUAGCUACAGGCUUAACACAUGCAAGUCGCGGGGCAGCAUGGGGGUUGCUUGCCAUCCCCGAUGGCGACCGGCGCACGGGUGAGUAACGCGUAUCCAACCUGCCCUUCGCCACGGGAUAACCCGGCGAAAGUCGGACUAAUACCGUAUGUUGUCCAUUGACGGCAUCCGAUUUGGACGAAAGGCUUGGCGGUGAGGGAUGGGGAUGCGUCCGAUUAGCCAGACGGCGGGGUAACGGCCCACCGUGGCUACGAUCGGUAGGGGUUCUGAGAGGAAGGUCCCCCACACUGGAACUGAGACACGGUCCAGACUCCUACGGGAGGCAGCAGUGAGGAAUAUUGGUCAAUGGGCGUAAGCCUGAACCAGCCAAGUAGCGUGCAGGAUGACGGCCCUAUGGGUUGUAAACUGCUUUUAUGCGGGGAUAAAGUGGCCCACGGGUGGGCUUUUGCAGGUACCGCAUGAAUAAGGACCGGCUAAUUCCGUG
rnacentral:rRNA from 1 species